rnacentral:rRNA from 1 species
UACAGAGGUCCCAAGCGUUGUUCGGAUUCACUGGGCGUAAAGGGUGCGUAGGUGGUGAGGUAAGUCGGAUGUGAAAGCUCGGAGCUCAACUCCGAAAUGGCAUUGGAAACUACCUUGCUCGAGGGUUGGAGGGGGGACUGGAAUACUUGGUGUAGCAGUGAAAUGCGUAGAUAUCAAGUGGAACACCAGUGGCGAAGGCGAGUCCCUGGACAACUCCUGACACUGAGUCACGAAA